rnacentral:rRNA from 1 species
CCUACGGGCGGCAGCAGUGGGGAAUAUUGGACAAUGGGGGGAACCCUGAUCCAGCCAUGCCGCGUGUGUGGAGAAGGCCCUCGGGUUGUAAAGCACUUUCAGUGAGGAAGAACGCCUGGUGGUUAAUACCCAUCAGGAAAGACAUCACUCACAGAAGAAGCACCGGCUAACUCCGUGCCAGCAGCCGCGGUAAUACGGAGGGUGCGAGCGUUAAUCGGAAUUACUGGGCGUAAAGCGCGCGUAGGUGGCUUGAUAAGCCGGUUGUGAAAGCCCCGGGCUCAACCUGGGAACGGCAUCCGGAACUGUCAAGCUAGAGUGCAGGAGAGGAAGGUAGAAUUCCCGGUGUAGCGGUGAAAUGCGUAGAGAUCGGGAGGAAUACCAGUGGCGAAGGCGGCCUUCUGGACUGACACUGACACUGAGGUGCGAAAGCGUGGGUAGCAAACAGGAUUAGAUACCCUGGUAGUC